rnacentral:rRNA from 1 species
UAGACGGAAGCAUGCUUCUCUCGAGAGCGGCGGACGGGUGAGUAAUGCCUAGGAAUCUGCCUGGUAGUGGGGGAUAACGUUCGGAAACGGACGCUAAUACCGCAUACGUCCUACGGGAGAAAGCAGGGGACCUUCGGGCCUUGCGCUAUCAGAUGAGCCUAGGUCGGAUUAGCUAGUUGGUGAGGUAAUGGCUCACCAAGGCGACGAUCCGUAACUGGUCUGAGAGGAUGAUCAGUCACACUGGAACUGAGACACGGUCCAGACUCCUACGGGAGGCAGCAGUGGGGAAUAUUGGACAAUGGGCGAAAGCCUGAUCCAGCCAUGCCGCGUGUGUGAAGAAGGUCUUCGGAUUGAAAACCACUUUAAGUUGGGAGGAAGGGUUGAGGAAUAAUACUCUGCAAUUUUGACGUUACCGACAGAAUAAGCACCGGCUAACUCUGUGCCAGCAGCCGCGGUAAU